UACGUAGGGGCCGAGCGUUGUCCGGAGUUACUGGGCGUAAAGCGCGCGUAGGUGGUUUGUUAAGUUGGAUGUGAAAUCCCCGGGCUCAACCUGGGAACUGCAUUCAAAACUGACAAGCUAGAGUAUGGUAGAGGGUGGUGGAAUUUCCUGUGUAGCGGUGAAAUGCGUAGAUAUAGGAAGGAACACCAGUGGCGAAGGCGACCACCUGGACUGAUACUGACACUGAGGUGCGAAAGCGUGGGGAGCAAACAGG
rnacentral:rRNA from 1 species